UAAUAGUCUUAAUGCUUUAAUGUUAUCCCACUUCACAAUAAAACUCGACUAUGGAUACUUUAAGAAUAGUGUCCUUAUGUUUAAUGUGAUCUCAUGAUUAAGUCAUACUUGAUACAUUAAACGGACUAUCUAUUCUAGGGAUUUUAUUAGACAAACAUAAUAAAGAAAAAACCUUUAAUUAUUAAUAAAUAAUUCGAUAUAAGUACCAAAAGUAUUGGCCUUUAGGGCUUAC
rnacentral:lncRNA from 1 species